rnacentral:rRNA from 1 species
UAAGGAAUAUUGCGCAAUGGACGAAAGUCUGACGCAGCAACGCCGUGUGCAGGAUGACGGCCCUUUGGGUUGUAAACUGCUGUAGCAGGGGAAUAAUAGCCGCCUUGGGUGGUUUGAAGGUACCCUGAAAGUAAGCGCCGGCUAACUACGUG